rnacentral:ncRNA from 1 species
UGCUUUGUCGCCAACACUCUCUCCUUGGUAAUAUCUGUUAAGCAUUAUUUUAACAAGUGUUUCUGAGUUGUGCACAUGCAGACGACCGGUACUCAACUUCAAUGUGGGAUAUUUGUAUGAGAAUUCCGGCGUCUCUCGCUAGAGGGUAUGUGAUUUAAAUCGGUGCCAAGGCUCAAGAGGUUUGAGUGUUGCGGUGACAUCAGUAAUAAUAUAACCCUAUGACGAAUACAGCCGAGUUGGUCUUGAGAGCCUCAGACAGCGCCUGAGCUCCAUUGUCGCCGAUAGAGUUAUCAUCCAAGGUCAAGUCGGUUAGAGUCGAGUUGGUCUUGAGUGCCUCAGACAGCGCCGCAACUCCGUUGUCUCCGAUCGAGUUACUCCUCAUGCUCAAAGUUGUCAGAACCGAGUUGGUCUUGAGUGCCUCAGACAGCGCCUGAGUGCCGUAGUCUCCGAUCGUGUUGUUCCCCAAGUCCAAACCGGUCAGAGUCGAGUUGAUCUUGAGUGCCUCAGACAGCGCCUGCGCUCCGUUGGGUCCGAUCGAGUUGCUACCCAAGUCCAAGGUAGUUAGAGUCGAGUUGAUCUUGAGUGCCUCAGAUAGCGCCUGCGCUCCGUUGGGUCCGAUCGAGUUGCUACCCAAGUUCAAGGUAGUUAGAGUCGAGUUGAUCUUGAGUGCCUCAGACAGCGCCCGAGCUCCAUUGUCUUUGAUCGAGUUGCCCCACAAGGUCAAAGUGAUUAGAGCCGAGUUGGUCUUCAUCGCCUCAGACAGCGCCUGAGCUCCGUUGUCUCCGAUCGAGUUACCAUUCAAGCCCAAGUUGGUUAGAGUCGAGUUGACCUUGAGUGUCUCAGACAGUGCCUGAGCUCCGUAGUCUCCGAUCAUGUUGCCCCACAAGUCCAAAAGGGUCAGAGUCAAGUUGGCUUUGAGUGCCUCAGACAGCGCCUGCCCUCCGUUGGGUCCGAUCGAGUUGCCCCCCAAGUCCAAAAGGGUAAGAGUCAAGUUGGUCUUGAGUGCCUCAGACAGCGCCCGAGCCCCAUUGUCUUUGAUCGAGUUGUCACACAAGGUCAAAGAGAUUAGAGUCAAGUUGUUCUUGAUCGCCUCGGACAGCGCCUGAGCUCCAUUGUCUCCGAUCGAGUUAUCAUCCAAGGUCAAGUCGGUUAGAGUCGAGUUGGUCUUGAGUGUCUCAGAUAGCGCCUGAGCUCCGUUAGAUCCGAUCGAGUUGCGGUACAAGUUCAAACUUGUCAGAGUCGAGUUGAUUUUGAGAGCUUCAGACAGAACUUGAGCUCCACUGUCUCCAAUCGAGCUGUCGCACAAGUCCAAAGUGGCUAGAUUCGAGUUGGUCAUGACGCUACAAAUUACCUUGUCCCGUGCAUAUACUGAUAAAGAGUUUUUAAUAUCCAAAUCUUGUAUAAGGUGCUUAUUUCUCUCAAUAGAUUCCAUGCUGGGACCACGUCUUGACAAAACGACAGAUUUGUAGAGUGGCCGUGUAAAUGAGUCGUUCCAAUCCUGACUCACACGCGCACAGGAUGCGAGGUCUUUAAGGUCAAGACUGCUGGCAAUGAUUGAGCGAAUCUCAGGUAUAUCAAGGGGGUGUAUCCGGGACAUCUUAGUUAUAACGCUGCAGAACGUGAACGUGAUGGGGAUAGUAACGAGUAGAGUGAUGACGGGCUGCAAUAUGGUGCAAUAACAAAGAAGGAAGGAGCGAGAUGAAGAGGGAAAGUAAGAUGAUGGUAUUGUUGAAUGGUAGUCAAUGAUGUGGAUAAAUAUAUGAGAUGACAGACUCUAAUUAUAAAAGCAAACAGAGAAAAAGAGUGUGAAUAAAGGAGUGAACAACAGAAAGAAGGGAGAGAGAGACAGAGUACUAGUGAAAAGUGGAGAAGGCUAGAAAAAGAUCCUUUUUUAUGGUAUCAGAAAAGAGAGGCAUUUAUACUAGUACACAGAAGGGUUGGAGGCGUGGUAAGAAGAGGCGCGGUUAAUAGUGGCGCGGUAGUGAGGGCAUAGUAAAGGAAGGCGAAGAAGAAGAACAUUCUAUAUUAUUGUGACACUAAUCUUAUACAUCAGUUGUUCUCAAACGAGCAAGCGUGACAGAUAUUUUAUGCAAUUCAUAUGUUUUAGCAUCCUUGGUGAGGUUUUCCUUACUUCUAGAGCCUUAACUAGGUAUAAAGCUAAUAAAUAGAGGGUUUGGGAGGAAUUUCAGAAAGACAAUGUAGCGCGGAAGUAUGAUAUGAAAAAAAGUAAGAUGAAUGUUGAUCGAUCAGGGUUGUGCAAAGAAACUUCAAGGAAAAUUUCAACGUGCCUGAUGACGGAUCACAUACACAUUGCCCUGCCAUUCUCCCACUGCUUUGCCGUCUGUCACGUUAGUGUUUGUUACUUAACCAAUUGUCAUCCUACUGUUCGGUGCUUUAGCAACUGAUAUUCUCAUUUUAUUUUUUUGCUGAUUUCUGCUUUAUCAACAGGAUAACUGGCUUGGGGCAGCCAAGUGUUCAUAGCGACGUUACUUUUGAUCCUUCGAUUUCAGCUCUUCCUGUCAUAAUGAAGUAGAAUUCAGUAAGCGUUGGAUUGUUCACCCACUAAUAGGGAACGUGAGCUGGGUUUAGAACGUCGUGAGACAUGUCAGUUUUACGCUACCGAUCAAAUGUUGUUGCAAUAGCAAUUUAACUUUCGAGAGGAGCCGAUCAUUCGGAUAAUUGGUAUGGGUCGGCUUGAGCAGAGAAUGACCCGAACCCAUCAUCCGUUAGGUUACGGCUGAACGCCUCUAAGCCAGACCCGUGCUAAAACGCGACGAGCACUGCCUUUUCCCGAUAUUUAAUCGAAUAAAAAUAACCCCUUAGGUCCAAGAUCAUACUACAUGGGGUUAUGUUGCAGGGUGGAAAUGCUUUGUGAGGCUGCUGCUAAUGUCAAUGUCAAACAUUGGAAGAGAUAAAUCCAUUGCAGACGACUUUAGCUGAACGGGGUAUUGUAAGCAGUAGAGUAGCCUUGUUGCUAUGAUCUGCCGAGAUGAAGCUCAUUGUUCAAUAGAUUU